CCCUGAAGAAAGAAAAGAAAGAAGAUGAGUUCCUACAAGAUAGCAAUCCUUCUGAUGGUGCUGCUGAUAGUACCUGACAGCCGAGAAGAAACGCUUGAGUCUGGAAGACACCUCCUACAAAGCAUCAACUGUCCUUCGGCUUGUGACUACCGUUGCUCCAAAGCCUCUUUGCACAACCGCU